AAGGGUAUAGCUCAGUGAUAAAGAGCAUGCUUACCAUGCAUGAGGUCCUGGGUUCAAUCCCCAGUACCUCCA
rfam:Camelus ferus unplaced genomic scaffold scaffold1431, whole genome shotgun sequence.